UACGAAGGGGGCUAGCGUUGCUCGGAAUCACUGGGCGUAAAGCGCGCGUAGGCGGCUUUGCAAGUCGGGUGUGAAAUCCCCAGGCUUAACCUGGGAACUGCAUUCGAGACUGCAUUGCUAGAGUAUGGGAGAGGGAAGUGGAAUUUCAGGUGUAGCGGUGAAAUGCGUAGAUAUCUGAAGGAACAUCAGUGGCGAAAGCGACUUCCUGGACCAAUACUGACGCUCAUGUGCGAAAGCGUGGGGAGCAAACAGG
rnacentral:rRNA from 1 species